UGGGGAAUAUUGGACAAUGGGCGCAAGCCUGAUCCAGCAACGCCGCGUGGAGGAUGAAGGUCUUCGGAUCGUAAACUCCUGUCAGACGGGACGAAGGUAGCGGGGUAAAUAAUCCCGCUGCUUGACGGUACUGUCAGAGGAAGCCCCGGCUAACUCCGUGCCAGCAGCCGCGGUAAUACGGAGGGGGCGAGCGUUAUUCGGAAUUAUUGGGCGUAAAGGGCGCGUAGGCGGCUUCGUAAGUCAAAGGUGAAAUCCCUCGGCUCAACUGAGGAACUGCCUUUGAAACUGUGAGGCUUGAGGCCGGGAGGGGGUAGCGGAAUUCCCAGUGUAGCGGUGAAAUGCGUAGAUACUGGGAGGAACACCAGUGGCGAAGGCGGCUACCUGGACCGGUUCUGACGCUGAGGCGCGAAAGCGUGGGUAGCAAACAG
rnacentral:rRNA from 1 species